GGGAGCGGGGCCGGGAGCGGGGCCGGGAGCAGGGCCGGGAGCGGGGUCUGCCCCAGCCCUGCUCACACAAGUGUGCAGAGCACAUCUGCCCGGGCUCUGGCAGCUGGGGCCUGUGACAGGCUGAGCGUCAGGGAGUGCAAUUAACGCUAAAGAGUUUAAUUGUGAGUAAACAAUACCGCAUCACGGAGCGGCGAAGGCAGCAGCAGGGACUGAAGGGCCGAGCACUCCAUCACAGAUGUGGCCGCUGCGGUGCUGUCACUGAGGCUCUCCCUGCCCGUCUGCACCCUCCGAGCGGGAUUUCGGCGCUCUCCAUCAUCCGCAGCCAUGCCCCGGGCGGUGCGGGAUGCCCGAAGCACUGCGGCUCGACCACUGCUGGGGGAACGAGACACUGCCCACCGCCCCAGACAGGGUUAAAACAUCUGACAUAUGAGCGACAGCCUACAUUAAGACAACAGCAACUGAAGCAUCAGGAAAGUCAACAUCACUAUAUACCAUUAAGAAAUCUGCUGUUUGAUGAUGCACAUUUACCACUCCAAGAAGUGCCUUAGGGAAAUACAACCACGUCUGAAGAGGGACUAGUACUAGGUGGGUGGGCUUCAAAAAAGCAUUGCUCUGCAUGAUGUCCAGUAGGAGAAUCCCUUUCAAAAACAGUGAGAUGGAUGAGCUGUCAUCAACCCACUUCAUUCCCUGCUUUGCAGAACACUCAUAAAAUGGGCAAAGGACAGUUUUGGUUUGUUCAACACACAAUAAAAAUGCACAAAAGGUGAUUGACA